rnacentral:rRNA from 1 species
GAUGAACGCUGGCGGCGUGCCUAAUACAUGCAAGUCGAGCGAACAGACGAGGAGCUUGCUCCUCUGACGUUAGCGGCGGACGGGUGAGUAACACGUGGAUAACCUACCUAUAAGACUGGGAUAACUUCGGGAAACCGGAGCUAAUACCGGAUAAUAUAUUGAACCGCAUGGUUCAAUGGUGAAAGACGGUUUUGCUGUCACUUAUAGAUGGAUCCGCGCCGCAUUAGCUAGUUGGUAAGGUAACGGCUUACCAAGGCAACGAUGCGUAGCCGACCUGAGAGGGUGAUCGGCCACACUGGAACUGAGACACGGUCCAGACUCCUACGGGAGGCAGCAGUAGGGAAUCUUCCGCAAUGGGCGAAAGCCUGACGGAGCAACGCCGCGUGAGUGAUGAAGGUCUCCGGAUCGUAAAACUCUGUUAUUAGGGAAGAACAAAUGUGUAAGUAACUAUGCACGUCUUGACGGUACCUAAUCAGAAAGCCACGGCUAACUACGUG